CAAAACUACAACUCCCAGCAUACCCAGUCUGCCUACAGCUAUCAGCCUACAGCAGGGCAUGGUGGGAGUUGCAGUUUUACAACAGCUGGAGAGCCGCAUGUUGGCCAGCCCUGACCUAGCCCCUUAUUCACA